rnacentral:rRNA from 1 species
CAAGUCGAGGGGUAACGGGUCACUUCGGUGAUGCCGACGACCGGCGCACGGGUGAGUAACGCGUAUGGAACCUACCUACGACAGGCGUAUAGCUUUCGGAAACGGGGAUUAAUCCCCCAUAUUAUUAACAAGUGGCAUCGCUUGUUGAUAAAAGCUUCGGCGGUUGUAGAUGGUCAUGCGUACCAUUAGUUAGUUGGUGAGGUAACGGCUCACCAAGGCAGUGAUGGUUAGGGGUCCUGAGAGGGUAGUCCCCCACACUGGUACUGAGACACGGACCAGACUCCUACGGGAGGCAGCAGUGAGGAAUAUUGGUCAAUGGGCGAGAGCCUGAACCAGCCAUGCCGCGUGCAGGAAGACGGCCCUACGGGUUGUAAACUGCUUUUCUGUAAGAAGAAUCGCCCGCAUUCGUUGGGGGUAUGACGGUAUUACAGGAAUAAGCAUCGGCUAACUCCGUGCCAGCAGCCGCGGUAAUACGGAGGAUGCGAGCGUUAUCCGGAUUCAUUGGGUUUAAAGGGUGCGCAGGCGGUGGAGCAAGUCAGUGGUGAAAGCCCAAGGCUUAACCUUGGGAUUGCCAUUGAAACUGUUUCACUUGAGUGUAGUCGAGGACGGCGGAAUGAGUUGUGUAGCGGUGAAAUGCAUAGAUAUAACUCAGAACACCAAUUGCGGAGGCAGCUGUCCAGGCUACAACUGACGCUGAGGCACGAAAGCGUGGGGAGCGAACAGGAUUAGAUACCCUGGUAGUCCACGCUGUAAACGAUGAUCACUCGUUGUUGGCUACUAAGUGGUCAGUGACUAAGGGAACACCAUUAAGUGAUCCACCUGGGGAAGUACGUCGGCAACGAUGAUACUCAAAGGUAUUGACGGGGGCCCACACAAGCGGAGGAACAUGUGGUUUAAUUCGAUGAUACGCGAGCGAACCUUACCUGGGAUUAAAUGCAGGCAGCAUUCACGUGAAAGCGUGAUUUCCUACGGGACUGCCAAGCAAGCUGCUGCAUGGUCGUCGUCAGCUCGUGCCGUGAGGUGUCGGGUUAAGUCCCAUAACGAGCGCAACCCCUAUCGCUAGUUGCCAGCAUGUAAAGGUGGGGACUCUAGCGAGACUGCCGGUGUAAACCGGAGGAAGGUGGGGAU